UGAAGGUUUUCGGAUCGUAAAGCUCUGUUGUUAGGGAAGAACAAGUGCAAGAGUAACUGCUUGCACCUUGACGGUACCUAACCAGAAAGCCACGGCUAACUACGUGCCAGCAGCCGCGGUAAUACGUAGGUGGCAAGCGUUGUCCGGAAUUAUUGGGCGUAAAGGGCUCGCAGGCGGUUUCUUAAGUCUGAUGUGAAAGCCCCCGGCUCAACCGGGGAGGGUCAUUGGAAACUGGGAAACUUGAGUGCAGAAGAGGAGAGUGGAAUUCCACGUGUAGCGGUGAAAUGCGUAGAGAUGUGGAGGAACACCAGUGGCGAAGGCGACUCUCUGGUCUGUAACUGACGCUGAGGAGCGAAAGCGUGGGGAGCGAACAGGAUUAGAUACCCUGGUAGUCCACGCCGUAAACGAUGAGUGCUAAGUGUUAGGGGGUUUCCGCCCCUUAGUGCUGCAGCUAACGCAUUAAGCACUCCGCCUGGGGAGUACGGUCGCAAGACUGAAACUCAAAGGAAUUGACGGGGGCCCGCACAAGCGGUGGAGCAUGUGGUUUAAUUCGAAGCAACGCGAAGAACCUUACCAGGUCUUGACAUCCUCUGACAACCCUAGAGAUAGGGCUUUCCCUUCGGGGACAGAGUGACAGGUGGUGCAUGGUUGUCGUCAGCUCGUGUCGUGAGAUGUUGGGUUAAGUCCCGCAACGAGCGCAACCCUUGAUCUUAGUUGCCAGCAUUCAGUUGGGCACUCUAAGGUGACUGCCGGUGACAAACCGGAGGAAGGUGGGGAUGACGUCAAAUCAUCAUGCCCCUUAUGACCUGGGCUACACACGUGCUACAAUGGACAGAACAAAGGGCUGCGAGACCGCAAGGUUUAGCCAAUCCCACAAAUCUGUUCUCAGUUCGGAUCGCAGUCUGCAACUCGACUGCGUGAAGCUGGAAUCGCUAGUAAUCGCGGAUCAGCAUGCCGCGUGAAUACGUUCCCGGGCCUUGUACACACCGCCCGUCACACCACGAGAGUUUGCAACACCCGAAGUCGGUGAGGUAACCUUUAUGGAG
rnacentral:rRNA from 1 species